rnacentral:lncRNA from 1 species
UCAAAAAGAUUAAAUGGCUAAUCUGGAAGCAAAUUAAAAAGAAACAGAUGAACACUCCAACAAUACAGACAUAUAUAACCUUAGAUGGAAUUGUGGUUCCACCGUUUGUACACGAAGUUUUAUCAUUAGGCCCGAAUGCUUUAGUCCAGAAUAUUCCGACAUGGCAAAACAUAGCUACUCAACUUGAACCAGCCUUAUCCACCUUCCAUCCAGUUGAGGCAAAAGAGAUUAGAUGGCAAAUGGCGAACACUAUUAAAAACUGUAAUGCUUCUGAUAUAAGAUCACUACACACUAGAGCAAUGGUUCCCAACCUUUUUUUUGGUCAUGCCCCACCUUAGCAUCUCUAAAAUCCUAAUGUCCCCCUG